rnacentral:tRNA from 1 species
AUGUAUCUCACUUGGUAGAGUGCUUGCUUAGCAUGCAAAAAGCCCUGGGUUCAAUCCCAGGCAU